rnacentral:rRNA from 1 species
UGGGGAAUAUUGCACAAUGGGCGCAAGCCUGAUGCAGCCAUGCCGCGUGUAUGAAGAAGGCCUUCGGGUUGUAAAGUACUUUCAGCGGGGAGGAAGGCGAUAAGGUUAAUAACCUUGUCGAUUGACGUUACCCGCAGAAGAAGCACCGGCUAACUCCGUGCCAGCAGCCGCGGUAAUACGGAGGGAGCAAGCGUUAAUCGGAAGUACUGGGCGUAAAGCGCACGCAGGCGGUCUGUCAAGUCGGAUGUGAAAUCCCCGGGCUCAACCUGGGAACUGCAUUCGAAACUGGCAGGCUAGAGUCUUGUAGAGGGGGGUAGAAUUCCAGGUGUAGCGGUGAAAUGCGUAGAGAUCUGGAGGAAUACCGGUGGCGAAGGCGGCCCCCUGGACAAAGACUGACGCUCAGGUGCGAAAGCGUGGGGAGCAAACA